CCCUUAGACGUUCUGGGCCGCACGCGCGCUACACUGACUGCUCCAACAAGUUACCUGGGCUGACAAGCAUCCGGGAAAUCUUGCAAAGGCAGUCGUGAUGGGGAUAGAUUCUUGUAAUUUUUGAUCUUCAACGAGGAAUUCCUAGUAAACGCAAGUCAUCAGCUUGCAUUGAUUACGUCCCUGCCCUUUGUACACACCGCCCGUCGCAUCUACCGAUUGAAUGGAGAGGCAAAAUCUUCGGACCGUGACGCUUGGGAGUCAAAUCUCGGGCUGUCGUGGGAAGUGGAUUAAACCUUUCUAUUUAGAGGAAGGUAAAGUCGUAACA
rnacentral:rRNA from 1 species